AUGUGGCUCGAGAGUGUUUUAAUUUAAUGUAGGCGUGGUUUUGCUUAACGGAGGGCGUGUCCAACGAUUUUGUGUGUGGUAUAAUAUAUAUAAUCUUCAGAAACAUGCUUUCAUUUAUUUUUAAGUUGCCAUUCAGCUUGUUUUCGGUCACGUUUUUAUUCAUUCACUCACAUCAUGGCCAGCUGUCAAAAUGUUUUAUUCUCCCCGUUACAUAAAUGCUAAAAUAAUCCUUUUUCAAAGCAGAAGUUCAACAAUAUCUAAAACAAUUCUAUGUUUAUUUCUUCAUUUUAAUAUUAUAAAUAUUAUUAUAUAUAUUAUUUUGAAGCAUAUUUUGUUAAUUGUACCCUGGCUAUUAUUGUAAUUCGUUAAAAUCAAUUAGAAAAACACUUCAAUAAAAAUAAACUUAAUAUAGUAUAUUUUUUCACGCAUUUUAUUUAUUUUAUAGUAUUUGAGUUAUAUAUUCAUGGAAACAGACGGACACAUUUUUUUAAAUAGUAAUCAAUAAUUUUUGAGAAGCUUGUGAAAUUUCAGAUAAACACUAGAUGCUAACGUUUAAAUAUUCUCAAAGUCAAAUGGACGUCAAAUAGAAACACGAGCGUGCAGGUGUUGUUUUGACCACGAGGGGGAGACUACACAUCACUCUAGACUCAAGAUCCACUGUACUACAGUUCACACAUCUCUCAGAUGUUCACUGAUGGACUGGAGUGCUGUGGAUUAUUGGGAUGUUUUUAUCAGCUCUCAUUCUGACGGCACCCAUUCACAUCCAUUGCUGAGACACUGAUGCAAUGCUACAUUUCUCCAGAUCUGAUGAAGAUCUUGAAUGCCCUGAGGGGAGAGAAAUCGGUUUCCUUCAGAUUUCUACACAUCCUUCUUCCAGGAAGAUCUCUUCGGUCUGAACCUCGUCUGUUCUCUGUGUUGAUGCUUCUGGACGCGUUUAUUGACUCAAUCACUUGAAACUCUCUCAGAUUUGACUGAUGCAGAGUGACAGUGUGUGUGUGUGUGUGUGUGUGUGUGGACUGACAUAAUGAGGGCUGCUUGCGACAGCGAUCUGUCUCUGAGCUGAUAUAAAAUCAGAUCUGAGGAUAAAGUGAAGUGGAUCAUCGAAUCUCAAGCUCUCACUUGUGUCUGAGUUAUUGUUACUGGUCUAGUGACUCAUUGCUAGGAUGUUCGUGGUUGUUGCUAGCUGCUUAUUUAAUGGCCCAAGCCUAAACAAAUGCAGAAUGAAUCUGUGUGUGACACAAAACGAUGUCUUAAGGCCAGUAAUGUCACCUAAAAAUGCACAAAUAAAGCGUACACUCAUCAGAG